rnacentral:rRNA from 1 species
AACGAACGCUGGCGGCAUGCCUAACACAUGCAAGUCGAACGAACUCUUCGGAGUUAGUGGCGGACGGGUGAGUAACACGUGGGAACGUGCCUUUUGGUUCGGAAUAACUCAGGGAAACUUGUGCUAAUACCGAAUGUGCCCUUCGGGGGAAAGAUUUAUCGCCAUUAGAGCGGCCCGCGUCUGAUUAGCUAGUUGGUGAGGUAACGGCUCACCAAGGCGACGAUCAGUAGCUGGUCUGAGAGGAUGACCAGCCACACUGGGACUGAGACACGGCCCAGACUCCUACGGGAGGCAGCAGUGGGGAAUAUUGCGCAAUGGGCGAGAGCCUGACGCAGCCAUGCCGCGUGAAUGAUGAAGGUCUUAGGAUUGUAAAAUUCUUUCACCGGGGACGAUAAUGACGGUACCCGGAGAAGAAGCCCCGGCUAACUUCGUG